rnacentral:misc_RNA from 1 species
GGAAGUAAAAGUGUAACAAGGUCUCCGUAGGUGAACCUGCGGAGGGAUCAUUACAGAGUUCAUGCCCUACCGGGUAGAUCUCCCACCCUAUGUUAUUAUUACCUUGUUGCUUUGGCGGGCCGUUAGGCUCCGGCCCGACUACCGGCCCCGGCUGGUAAGCGCCCGCCAGAGGACCCAAAACCCUGAAUAUUAGUGUCGUCUGAGUACUAUAUAAUAGUUAAAACUUUCAACAACGGAUCUCUUGGUUCUG